CAGUCUUGAUCUUAAAAUUCGUUUAUAUCGAUUCAUUUAACUGAAGCAACUAAUUUGAAAUGCAACUCGAUACCGCAUAUUUCGAUAGAGCAUAAAUAUUGAUAAGGAAUAACCUAAUAACCUAUGCAUUUAAGAAUAUAAAUACCCGUUGUAUUUCGAUAAUUGGCAUUGAAUCUUCUGCGAGGACAUUUGGGCUAUCUCGUCUGUUUUUAAGAUCAACGGAUACAGAAUAACAAUCGAAACCGAAUAAAAAACACAUCGAUUCUCUGCUGGUAUCAAGGACUGGAUAACAAGAUGGCGAUCGAUGAGCGAAGCAUCGAGCAAAGGCGUUUCGACCUUCAUUCGAUAAUGGCGUCGGCACGAGUAUGCGACAAUCGACAUAUUUUUAUCUGUGGUUUAUAUGUCAGUCAGUUAAAACUUAUUUUUAAUAUAUUGAAAAAUUGCUGUUUUUUAUAUAAAAAUGUGAAAUGAGAAAUUAAGGUAUAUGAUAUAAUCGUAUUUAAUAUGGACUGGAUAAAGGACGUAAACAUAAUUUGUUAUUCUUCGUUUAUAUACGUAGUAAAGUAGUGCCAUCUGUA